GAUGAACGCUGGCGGCGUGCCUAAUACAUGCAAGUCGAGCGAACAGACGAGGAGCUUGCUCCUCUGACGUUAGCGGCGGACGGGUGAGUAACACGUGGAUAACCUACCUAUAAGACUGGGAUAACUUCGGGAAACCGGAGCUAAUACCGGAUAAUAUAUUGAACCGCAUGGUUCAAUAGUGAAAGACGGUUUUGUUGUCACUUAUAGAUGGAUCCGCGCCGCAUUAGCUAGUUGGUAAGGUAACGGCUUACCAAGGCGACGAUGCGUAGCCGACCUGAGAGGGUGGUCGGCCACACUGGAACUGAGACACGGUCCAGACUCCUACGGGAGGCAGCAGUAGGGAAUCUUCCGCAAUGGGCGAAAGCUUGACGGAGCAACGCCGCGUGAGUGAUGAAGGUCUUCGGAUCGUAAAACUCUGUUAUUAGGGAAGAACAAAUGUGUAAGUAACUAUGCACGUCUUGACGGUACCUAAUCAGAAAGCCACGGCUAACUACGUG
rnacentral:rRNA from 1 species